CUAUUUGAGGAUUUGAUCCUGGUCCAGGACGAACGCUAGCGGCGUGCUUUAAGCAUGCAAGUGGGACGGUCGCCGUAAGGCGACAGUCGCGAACGGCUGAGUAACACGUAGGUACCUAUCCUUUGGUGGGGAAUAGUCCGCCGAAAGGCGGGGUAAUACCGCAUAACCCCGUUCGCAGAACGAGCAAUGUCACCAAUAAAUACCAAUAAUCCAAUUACAAAUGCCCAAUGUAUGAAAUGUAUUUUAAAUUUGCAUUUAAUUGGAAAUUUGAAAUUGGUACUUAUUUGAAAUUUGGCAUUUCUCGCUCUGCGAGCGAGUAAAGGGCUUAACUGCCCGCCGAUUGAGGGACCUGCGGCCUAUCAGCUUGUUGGUGGGGUAAUGGCCUACCAAGGCUACGACGGGUAGGGGGCGUGAGAGCGUGACCCCCCAGAAGGGCACUGAGAUACGGGCCCUACACCUACGGGUGGCAGCAACUGGGAAUCGUGCGCAAUGGGCGAAAGCCUGACGCCGCGACGCCGCGUGUGGGAUGACGGCCUUCGGGUUGUAAACCACUUUUGACGAGACAGACAUGUCUCGUAGAAUAAGCACCGGCUAACUCCGUGCCAGCAGCAGCGGUAAUACGGAGGGUGCAAGCGUUGUCCGGAUUUAUUGGGCGUAAAGAGUUCGUAGGCGGUUAGGUAAGUCACUUUUCAAAUACCGGGGCUCAACCUCGGAAAGGGGAGUGAUACUACCUGACUGGAAGUACUUCGGGGUUACUGGAACUGUCGGUGUAGGAGUGAAAUCCGUUGAUAUCGACAGGAACACCGAGGGCGAAGGCAAGUAACUAGGAGUAUCUUGACGCUGAGGAACGAAAGCUAGGGGAGCGAAAGGGAUUAGAGACCCCUGUAGUCCUAGCCGUAAACUAUGCUCGCUAGCGAUGUGUCCCGCACCUUUCCUAAAGAAGCAGUUGGUAUAACAACCUUGGUCAGACGAAGUCGCUUCGCCUUACUUGGUUGGAGAAUUCCAGAGGCUUUGGUUGGGAAAGGUGCGGGAUGCGUCGCGCAAGCUAACGCGUGAAGCGAGCCGCCUGGGGAGUACGAGCGCAAGCUUAAAACUCAAAGGAAUUGACGGGGACCCGCACAACCAGUGGAGCAUGUGGUUUAAUUCGAGACGAA
rfam:Microgenomates (Woesebacteria) bacterium GW2011_GWB1_38_8 TT08_C0011, whole genome shotgun sequence.